rnacentral:rRNA from 1 species
GGAGGGUGCGAGCGUUGUCCGGAAUCAUUGGGCGUAAAGGGCGCGUAGGUGGCGGGACAAGCGUGCGGUGAAAGCUCGGGGCUCAACCCCGAGUCGGCCGUGCGAACUGUUUUGCUGGAGCACUGUAGAGGCAGGCGGAAUUCCGGGUGUAGCGGUGGAAUGCGUAGAGAUCCGGAAGAACACCGGUGGCGAAGGCGGCCUGCUGGGCAGUUGCUGACACUGAGGCGCGACAGCGUGGGGAGCAAACAGGAUUAGAUACCCUGGUAGUCCACGCCGUAAACGAUGGGCACUAGGCGCUUGGGGGAGCGACCCCCCGAGGGCCGUAGCUAACGCAUUAAGUGCCCCGCCUGGGGAGUACGGCCGCAAGGCGG